rnacentral:rRNA from 1 species
AAAAGAUUAAGCCCAGGCAUGUUUUAAGUUAAAAGCACUUCAUACUGUGAAAACUGCGAAAUGGGCUCAAUAAAAUCCAGUUAUCGUUUUAUUUGGAUAGUACCUUUUACUAACAUGGAUAACCCGUGGUAAUUCUAGAGCUUAAUACAUGCAAAAAAACCCCGGACUUCGGGAGGGGUGUGUUUAUUAGAUAAAAAAACCAACCGCCCCCCGCAAGGGGGCUCGCUGGUGAUUCAUGAUAACCCAACGAAUUCGCAUGGCCUUGAGCCGGCGAUGGUUCAUUCAAAUUUCUGCCCUAUCACUUUUCGACGGUUGGGUAGUGGCCAACCGUGAGGUCAACGGGUAACGGGGAAUUAGGGUUCGAUUCCGGAGAAGGAGCCUGAGAAACGGCUACUACAUCCAAGGAAGGCAGCAGGCGCGCAAAUUACCCAAUCCCGACUCGGGGAGGUAGUGACAAUAAAUACUGAUACAGGGCUCUUUCGGGUCUUGUAAUUGGAAUGAGUACAAUUCAAAUCCCUUAACGAGGAACAAUUGGAGGGCAAGUCUGGUGCCAGCAGCCGCGGUAAUUCCAGCUCCAAUAGCGUAUAUUAAAGUUGUUGCAGUUAAAAAGCUCGUAGUUGAACCUUGGGCCAGGCUGGCCGGUCCGCCUAACCGCGUGCACUGGUCUGGCCGGGCCCUUUCCUCUGGGGAGCCGCAUGCCGUUCACUCGGCGUGUCGGGGAACCAGGACUUUUACUUUGAAAAAAUUAGAGUGUUCAAAGCAGGCCUUCGCUCGCAUACAUUAGCAUGGAAUAAUGGAAUAGGACGCGCGGUUCUAUUUUGUUGGUUUCUAGCGCCGCCGUAAUGAUUGAUAGGGACAGUCGGGGGCAUCCGUAUUCAGCCGCGAGAGGUGAAAUUCUUAGACCGGCUGAAGACGAACUACUGCGAAAGCAUUUGCCAAGGAUGUUUUCAUUAAUCAGUGAACGAAAGUUGGGGGAUCGAAGACGAUCAGAUACCGUCGUAGUCUCAACCGUAAACUAUGCCGACUAAGGGAUCGGGGCGGAGCACCUACAUUGGCCCCCCCCGGCACCUUACGAGAAAUCAAAAUCUUUUGGUUCUGGGGGGGAAUAUGGUCCCAAGGCUGAACUUAAGA